GCUACGUGGGCUGAUUUCUACUCCUAUUCAUUUUGUGAGCCAUCUAUUAAUCUAUUUUAUUAGUAAAUUAUAUGUACACAAAUGGAGAAAAAUGCAAAAAAAGGAGAUAAAAGAUAAUUAUAAAUGUUGGCCAUAGAGAGGUGCCACAUCAUUUUAUCUAUGCCUAACUUUAUAUUAUAUAUAGAUUGACACAAAUUAACCCCGAAAAACCAUCCAACUUAGAACAAACAAUUAAACCCCAAAAACCAUUCGACUCCUUCGAUUCUUCCAUUGCAUCAGUCGAAUCACACACAAAUUAACCUAUUCCUUCACUAUAUUUCUCUAUUAAUCGAUUCUUAGGUUGUUUAUGGUUGGGUUUUCAAUUGAUUUUCAUCGAAGCUUUGAGAGUCCAUUCCCGGAACAACCCAACAUUUUAGACGACAUGUGCAGAUACCUAAGCACUCGUUUGAGUGCUUUCCAAUGUACUUUAGAUGGGGAGUGCAUAAAUUGUGACAAUUUAUUCACCGAGAAGCUGAUGUCUGGACAAGCGAACGAUAAGUACUGGAGUUUUCCAAGAACUAUUGUAGCGAGUGGCAUCAGUCGGUUCUGCUCCAUCAUUUAGUUGGAGCACUUCAGUGGCACUCAUUGGGGUUUUAGCAUGUUUGCAGUCCUUCAUGUUUUCUUCACAGAGGAUUUUAUUGAUGUAAUUUGAUUGUGAUAAUGUAAUCUUAUCUGCAACACAGAGCACCUCAACUCCAAGAAAAUAUUAAGGUUCCCGAGAUCCUUGAUGGAAAAA